rnacentral:rRNA from 1 species
CCUACGGGAGGCAGCAGUGAGGAAUCUUGGACAAUGGCCGGAAGGCUGAACCAGCCAUGCCGCGUGAAGGUCAGUGCCCUAUGGGCGUUAAACUUCUUUUGUGCGGGAGCAAUAAUGGUCACGUGUGGCCAGACGAGAGUACCGUGCGAAUAAGCAUCGGCUAACUCCGUGCCAGCAGCCGCGGUAAUACGGGGGAUGCAAGCGUUAUCCGGAUUUAUUGGGUUUAAAGGGUGCGUAGGCUGUGAGGUAAGUCAGCGGUGAAAUGCCCCCGCUCAACGGGGUGAAGUGCCAUUGAUACUGCCUGGCUGGAAUGCGGAUGCCGUGGGAGGAAUGUGUGGUGUAGCGGUGAAAUGCAUAGAUAUCGCACAGAACACCGAUUGCGAAGGCAUCUCACGAAUCCGCGAUUGACGCUGAUGCACGAAAGCGUGGGUAUCAAACGGGAUUAGAUACCCUUGUAGUC